rnacentral:tRNA from 2 species
GCUCCGGUAGCUCAGCCUGGUUAGAGCGUCGGGCUGUGGACCCGAAGGUCCCGGGUUCAAGUCCCGGCCGGAGCC